rnacentral:rRNA from 1 species
GACGGAGGAUGCAAGUGUUAUCCGGAAUCACUGGGCGUAAAGGGUCUGUAGGUGGUUUUUUAAGUCUGCUGUUAAAGCUUGAAGCUCAACUUCAAAAAUGCAUCGGAAACUAGAAGGCUUGAGUAUGGUAGGGGUAGAGGGAAUUUCCAGUGAAGUGGUGAAAUGCGUAGAUAUUGGAAAGACCACCAAAGGCGAAGGCACUCUACUGGGCCACAACUGACACUGAGAGACGAAAGCUAGGGGAGCGAAUGGG